rnacentral:tRNA from 1 species
ACAGUGGUGGCAGAGCUGGUUUAAUGCGCGUUCCUGCUAAGAACGUUAUGCCCAGAAAGCAUACGCGGGGUCGUAGCCCGCCCACUGUG